rnacentral:rRNA from 1 species
AGUGAACGCUGGCGGUAGGCCUAACACAUGCAAGUCGAACGGCAGCACAGUAAUAGCUUGCUCUUACGGGUGGCGAGUGGCGGACGGGUGAGGAAUACAUCGGAAUCUACUUUUUCGUGGGGGAUAACGUAGGGAAACUUACGCUAAUACCGCAUACGACCUACGGGUGAAAGCAGGGGAUCUUCGGACCUUGCGCGAUUGAAUGAGCCGAUGUCGGAUUAGUUGGUUGGCGGGGUAAAGGCCCACCAAGGCGACGAUCCGUAGCUGGUCUGAGAGGAUGAUCGGCCACACGGGAACUGAGACACGGUCCAGACUCCUACGGGAGGCAGCAGUGGGGAAUAGUGGACAGUGGGCGCAAGCCUGAUCCAGCCAUACCGAGUGUGUGAAGAAGGCCUUCGGGGUGUGAAGACCUCUUGUGGGGAAAGAACAGCAGCAGGUUAAGACGACGCUGUUCUGACGGUACUGAAUGAAUAAGCACCGGCUAACUUCGUG